AUUGAACGCUGGCGGCAUGCUUUACACAUGCAAGUCGAACGGCAGCGCGGGCUUCGGCCUGGCGGCGAGUGGCGAACGGGUGAGUAAUACAUCGGAACGUGCCCAGUAGUGGGGGAUAGCCCGGCGAAAGCCGGAGUAAUACCGCAUACGAACCGAGGGUGAAAGCGGGGGGUCUUCGGACCUCGCGCGAUUGGAGCGGGCGAUGGGUGAUUAGCUAGUUGGUGGGGUAAAGGCCUACCAAGGCGACGAUCCGUGGCUGGUCUGAGAGGGAGACCAGCCACACUGGGACUGAGACACGGCCCAGACUCCUACGGGAGGCAGCAGUGGGGAAUUUUGGACAAUGGGCGAAAGCCUGAUCCAGCAAUGCCGCGUGUGUGAUGAAGGCCUUCGGGUUGUAAAGCACUUUUGGCGGGAACGAAAAGGACUGUGCCAAUACCACGGUUCGAUGACGGUACCCGCAGAAUAAGCACCGGCUAACUACGUG
rnacentral:rRNA from 1 species